GCCUGGGUGGCUCAGUCGGUUAAGCGUCUGACUUCGGCUCAGGUCAUGAUCUCAUGGCUUGUGAGUUCGAGCCCCACAUCGGGCU
rnacentral:tRNA from 1 species